rnacentral:rRNA from 1 species
CCAAUAGCGUAUAUUAAAGUUGUUGCAGUUAAAAAGCUCGUAGUUGAAUUUCGGGAUCAAUAUGUUGGUCGUGCCUCGGUACGUACUAGCUUAUUGGUUUCUCCUUUCUGAAGAACCAUGAUGUCAUUUAUUUGGUGUCGUGGGGAAUCAGGACUGUUACUUUGAAAAAAUUAGAGUGUUUAAAGCAGGCUCACGCUUGAAUACAUUAGCAUGGAAUAAUGAAAUAGGACGUUUGAUUCUAUUUUGUUGGUUUCUAGGAUCGACGUAAUGAUUAAUAGGGAUAGUUGGGGGCAUUAGUAUUCAAUUGUCAGAGGUGAAAUUCUUGGAUUUAUUGAAGACUAACUACUGCGAAAGCAUUUGCCAAGGAUGUUUUCAUUAAUCAAGAACGAAGGUUAGGGGAUCGAAGACGAUCAGAUACCGUCGUAGUCUUAACCAUAAACUAUGCCGACUAGGGAUCGGAUGAUGUUAAUUUUUUAAUGACUCAUUCGGCGCCUUAC